rnacentral:rRNA from 1 species
GCCGCCGCGGUAACACCGGCGGCCCGAGUGGUGAUCGUGAUUAUUGGGUCUAAAGGGUCCGUAGCCGGUUUGGUCAGUCCUCCGGGAAAUCUGAUAGCUCAACUAUUAGGCUUUCGGGGGAUACUGCCAGACUUGGAACCGGGAGAGGUAAGAGGUACUACAGGGGUAGGAGUGAAAUCUUGUAAUCCCUGUGGGACCACCUGUGGCGAAGGCGUCUUACCAGAACGGGUUCGACGGUGAGGGACGAAAGCUGGGGGCACGAACCGGAUUAGAUACCCGGGUAGUCCCAGCCGUAAACGAUGCUCGCUAGGUGUCAGGCAUGGCGCGACCGUGUCUGGUGCCGCAGGGAAGCCGUGAAGCGAGCCACCUGGGAAGUACGGCCGCAAGGCUGAACCUUAAAGGAAUUGGCGGGGGAGCACAACAACGGGUGGAAGCCUGCGGUUUAAUUGGACUCAACGCCGGACAACUCACCGGGGGCGACAGCAAUAUGUAGGCCAAGCUGAAGACUUUGCCUGAAUCGCUGAGGGGUGGUGCAUGG